AAUAGCGUAUAUUAAAGUUGUUGCAGUUAAAAAGCUCGUAGUUGGAUUUCUGGUGGGAGCGAUCGGUCUGGCGCUUAGCGCGAGUACUUGCAUCGUCUCCGGCCAUCCUUGGGGAGAGUCUGUCUGGCAUUAGGUUGUCGGGCAGAGGAUCCUCAUCGUUUACUGUGAAAAAAUUAGAGUGUUCAAAGCAGGCUUAUGCCGUUGAAUAUAUUAGCAUGGAAUAAUAAGAUAGGACUUUGGUACUAUUUUGUUGGUUUGCGCACCAAAGUAAUGAUUAAUAGGGACAGUUGGGGGUAUUCGUAUUCCGUUGUCAGAGGUGAAAUUCUUGGAUUUACGGAAGACGAACUACUGCGAAAGCAUUUACCAAGGAUGUUUUCAUUAA
rnacentral:rRNA from 1 species